GGGUGAUGAGAGGCCAUUUCCUGGCAGAGGAGCCAGCAAGUGCCAAGGCCCUGGGGCAGGAAAUGUUUAGCUCAGUAAAUAUUUGUUGAUUAAAUGAACGACAGAUGCUUUGAGAAGAAAUUGAUUGCAGGGAUUCGGCAGUGGGGGCCACAAGGAGGGCGAUGGCUGAGUUGACUGGAAAGUGGACAGGAAGUUGUCACCAGCACGGGAGCCAGAAGAACUCAAGGCAGAGGGGCCAGAUUUUCUCUAUCCUGUUCUGGGAGUAGACAGGACUCCUGCAGGGCCCCUGGGCUCUGGGGGACCCGACAUCCGGUGACACUGGAGAGCAACAGUCCCCGUAAGUAGGGGAUAGGUCAUGGCAGCGCCAGGACAUCCAGACUUUGGUCUUUGCCCACUGCUGGCGGCUGAAGCACAGAACACCCCGAUAACGGUCUUCCCGCCCCUCCCCCGCCUCCCCCUGCUCACUGGUCCUUCACCCUGUCCGUCAAGCCUGUCCGCCAAUCAGCACCCGGGCCCGGGCUGGGUUCUCCCGGGCACUAUUUCAGCAUCUUUAGGGGUGGUGGCCCCGGCACAGAGAGGAGUGACAGCCGCUCGGGACCUCAGCUCUGAGGAGGAACCCAGGACGUCAAGCAUAGCCUGUGGGGCCCAUGGAUGGGGAUUUAGCCGCUGGCAAGAUGGCGUCGCCCACCUGCGCCGUGGGUCCCAUUGACAGCCUGGAGCUCCUGGACCUCCUUUUUGACCGGCAGGAUGGCAUCCUGCGACACGUGGAGCUGGCCGAAGACUGGGGCCCCGCUGCCGAGGACCAGGUGACCCCGCGUGGCCCACCGGGCUCCACGGGAACGACGCUCAAAGCCGGCAACUUCUCCCGGGCCAGAACCGAGUCGUGGCUCCCGCCUUGCUCCUGGCUGUUCCCCUGCUAGUGGCUUUAUUUCCUUCCAGCCCCAAACACCCUCAGAGAAGCCUUACCUCCGGCUUGAGAAAGGCCUCGAGGCCCAGAGAGGGAAGGCGUUUUGCCCAAGGCCAUACAGCGAUCCUCACUCCCACCCCUCGUUCUGCCUCCCCCAGGCGCUGCCCGGGUCAGACUCCGAUGACUUCCUGAACUCCAUCCUGGGCCCUGGUGACUCAGCCCCCAGCUCCCCGACCUGGUCCCCUGCGGCCAGUGACAGCAGUGUCUCUGAGGACCUGCCCUCCGACCCCCAGGACAGCCCUCCACGCGGCGGGGGCCCAGGCACCGCCCUGGCUAGCUGCCCUUCCUACCUCUCCAACCCCCCGGGUCCUGCCAGGGCCCCCAGGACACAGGUGCUGGAGGCCUCCGUGGCCAUAGAUCUGGGUGAGUCGCCCUGGGAGGGACAGAGGGGCCCAGAUCUCACUCUGCUCCUGGGGCCUGUUCUGGAGAGGGGGUGACAGAGACCCUUGAGGUUAAGCAAGAACCAAGGUGGGCAUGAUGCACAUGCCUCUUAUCCCAGUUAUUGGGGAGGCUGAGGCAGGAGGAUCCCAAAUUCAAGCCCAGCCUGGGCAACUUGGUCACUUAGCAAGACCCUGUCUCAAUUUUUUUUUUUUAAAGAGGGGGAGGCUGGGGAUGGAGCUCAGUGUGAAAGCCUGGGUUCCAUCCCCAGCACCUCAAAAAAGAAAAAAAUUAAAGGGCAAGAGAUUACGGGGUGCCCUGGCCUCAAACUGCUCCCCUGGACUGCGUCACAGGCCAUAUCAGAUGACAGAUCAAUAAUGAUUUACUCCUGGGACAUCGAGACACCCCUGAUGGCCAGGCACAGCCCCGGUGGAGGUAUUUGGCCACUGGGUGUCCUUUGUCCCUUCCUGGCGAAGGCUCUUAGGGGCCUCUUACUGGCGAGUUGGUGAGACGGUGGGAGGCUCAGAGUUCCCAAGGUCACCCAGCUCCGCCCAGUCGGGUGGUGCUCAAAAGCUGUGAGCCUACUGUGUGCCAGGCACCAGAAGGGGUGGAGCUAGGGGUGAAUCUGACCUAGUCCUUGCCCAGAUACUCCCUUCUGGAUGGGUAAUGGGUCCUCUGAUGGUGUCAUGUAUUUCUUAAAGUUGUAUUCAUUUUGUUCAGUCCUGGAGUUUGAACCCAGGGCCUUCACGCUAAGCGGGAUCCCCAGCCCUUUUUAUUUUUUGUUUUCAGACAAGGUUGCAUGGAGUCACUAAAUUGCCUGGGCUGGGCUGAAACGUGCGAUCCUCCUGCCUCAGCCUCCCAGAGUGCUGGGGUGACAGGAGUGCACCUCUCCACCUGGGGCUAAUGUCCUGUACUCUCUUUAAUCCCGUGAGACAGACACAGGUGUGCCAGGAUGAAUUUGGGUUCUGUCUGACAGCCAGGAGAAACUGAGGCUUGUCCCCUUAGACCCAGGCCCUGGUGACCCCAGGCUGUGGCAGAGGCCUAGGGGCAUUGAAGGCAGUGCUUGAUGCUUGCUGGGGUGACUGGGAGAGGCUGGGUAUGAGGCUGCCCGCCUGACCCUCCCUGCCUGUCCCUUCGCCCUGCAGACAUGUGGAGUGCAGGAGCCCUCUACCCCGGGCAGCAGGCCGGCUCGCCUUCCUGCUUUGACCUGACCGUGAAGGAACUCCUGCUGGCCGGUGGCAGCGGGGACCUGGUGAGAACCCCGGCCAUCAGAGCAGGCGGCUCAGGGACCCCAACAUCUGGCUUCAGAGCCUGGAAGCACAAGUCACAGAGAGGGACAGGGAUCAGCCCAGGGUGACAGAUGAGCUAGUGGCUUCCAGUUCUGUGUCCAUUACUGUCCCCCAGCCUGGGCCACUGUCCACUGUAGGCAGGACCAGAGUGUAGGGAACAGGGGAAGGGGAUGUUACCCGAACCUCUGCAGUGAGUCCUAGUCUCCUGUGAGCCACGGCAGCACACGGCGAAUUACAGGAAAGGUAGAAAAAUGAGACUGAGAAGAAGC
rnacentral:lncRNA from 1 species